GCAGGUAUCGUAUAAUGGUUAUUAUGUAGCCCUCCCAUGGCUAAGAUGCGAGUUCGAUUCUCGUUACCUGCUCCA
rnacentral:tRNA from 1 species